rnacentral:rRNA from 1 species
GAUGAACGCUAGCGGCAGGCCUAAUACAUGCAAGUCGAACGGGAUUGGGGAGCUUGCUCCCCAUGAGAGUGGCGCACGGGUGCGUAACGCGUGAGCAACCUGCCCGUCCCAGGGGGAUAGCCCCUCGAAAGAGGGAUUAACACCGCAUGACGUUGAGACGUGGCAUCACGAUUCAACCAAAUAUUUAUAGGGGACGGAUGGGCUCGCGUGGCAUUAGUUAGUUGGUAGGGUAACGGCUUACCAAGACGAUGAUGCCUAGGGGCUCUGAGAGGAGAAUCCCCCACACUGGUACUGAGACACGGACCAGACUCCUACGGGAGGCAGCAGUAAGGAAUAUUGGUCAAUGGGCGAGAGCCUGAACCAGCCAUGCCGCGUGCAGGAGGACUGCCCUACGGGUUGUAAACUGCUUUUGUACGGGAACAAACGCACUUACGUGUAAGUGUUUGAGUGUACCGUAAGAAUAAGGAUCGGCUAACUCC